AGCUAUAAAUAUGCAAGUUGGACGGAAACUGGUGCUUCCAGUGGCGGAUGGGUGAAUAACGCGUAAGAAUCUGCCGAGGAGGGGCUUGCAUCUCAUUAGCUAGUUGGUGAGGCAAUAGCUUACUAAGAUGAUAAUCAGUAGCUUGUCUGAGAGAAUGAUCAACCACACUGGGAUUGAGACACGACUCAGUCUCCUUCAGGAGGCAUCAGUGGGGAAUAUUCUGCAAUGAACGAAAGUCUGACAAGCU
rnacentral:ncRNA from 1 species